rnacentral:rRNA from 1 species
GACGAACGCUGGCGGCGUGCUUAACGCAUGCAAGUCGAGCGGUAAGGCCCUUUCGGGGGUACGACGAGCGGCGAACGGGUGAGUAACACGUGGGUGACCUGCCCUCAGCUCUGGGAUAAGCCUGGGAAACCGGGUCUAAUACUGGAUAUGACUCCAUGACGCAUGUUGUGGGGUGGAAAGCCUUGUGCGGCUGAGGAUGGGCCCGCGGCCUAUCAGCUUGUUGGGUGGGGUGA